rnacentral:antisense_RNA from 1 species
CAUGAAAUACAGCACUUCUGGCCAAGAAGUCUAAAUCACAGCCGAUCUACACGAGGCGGAUGGUCCACAACGCCAAGUUCCUACCCGGGCACUGAGCUCAACGCUCGCACAACUCCAAACGAGGGCGCAACCAUAUUCCCACUGACAUCCUCCUUGGGGCAGCAAGACAAGCUCCGAACAGCCUGUCCUGGGCCAACAAGAGAAGCUGGCAGGGUGCCCGCUGAGCACUGUGAGCCAUCUUGUGCAUCCAGCGGUCACCAUGGUGAACAAGAAGCCAGGAAGGAAGGAAGCAAUGUCGGCAAAAGGGCUCAGAUGACAACCAAACAGAACGGUUUCCCACCCUGGGCCUCCUUUCCACACACACAGCAUCGUGGGUAUUUUAAAACAAACAAGAUCAAUGUCCAAACCUGC